GGCAAAACCAGUGUUUGAAAUCCCUGUCUGUUGACUAUAAACCUGGUACUUUUCACCACUGUAUUCUAUUUCCUCUUAGCAGUUCUCUGUCUUGAAUCUUAUUGUCUGCUUCUCAAAGGCCAAAGUGUAAACUUGCCUACAGAAAACAGAGAGAUUGGAGGAUUUCAGAGUAAAGAACACCGAAGACUAUGAGGCCAGGACGUGAGGAGGGUCAUCGCUAGUUUCUGGGGCCUCUGUUGGAACUUCCUGAGUGGGUGGCAACGACUCGCAAGUAGGGGAGGGGUGAGGAGGUUGGGCUUAGAUACCAGACACAGUGAUGAACAAUUUUUGUAAUUGACUCUCACGUUAGAGUGAUGAAGAAGAGACUGAUAUUAUCCUCAUUUUAAAUGUGAAAGGCUUUAGAGUCUUCUUACGGAAUUCUCUCUAAAUUGACUAGCAAAUGUGGAGCAGCUGAUUUAUAUGUUCUUAAAACGAUUAAGAAAGGCAGUAUUUCUUACCUGGUCGUAAGAAUCGUAUCAGUACUAGUUAAAAAUACUGAUGAUCAAGCCCUUUGAUUGGAGAGCCUUGUUUGGUGCUUUCACCAAAUGCCCAUGCGAAUCUUAUGGUCUCUUGGAUUAUAAUGAAGAAGCUGAGACCCAGGGUUGGAGGCAGGUUGGACUCCGUCAGGAUCUGCCCUGACAGCAUGCUCAGCCUGCUAAGUCCUGCAGACUCUGGACCCUGCGCACCCACUUUCUGUGGCUUGGAUAAGCCGUAGGCCAAAUUAACUCCACAUGCUUGGGACCACUGCAUAUUUUGCCUCCUACAGAAACAAAAGAAUGGUAUUUUUAGAUUCUGAACAAUUUUGCCAUCUAAACUGCGUCUGCUUUCAUGUCACUGCUUCAGAGAAUAGUGAUAUCUCUACUUUUAUCCUAAACUAAUUUGCCCACUUUGUCAUCACCCAUAAUCUCUGGAGUGGAUUGGCCAUUAUGUGAAGAGUGACAGAAGAAUGUGAAAGGAGACUCGAAAGGCAAUGGAAAGUAUUGGAUCUUUGCACUGCUCUUUAUUCUAACACCCGAAUAGAAAAGAUGGAAGAAAUCAAAGGACUGCAUUUAUCCUGGGAAAAAGUUGGAAGAGCAAUUGUCCUUUACAUGAAAGCUUUUGUUACUUUUAUGCUUCUCUUAUUACUAGAAGGUAUUUUUAUGUGUGAUCAUCAAAAGUGGUAAAGUAUAGGACAAUGGCAGAAAAUUCAUUUUAUAAUUAUCCUUUGGUAAAAUAGCUUUUUUGCUCACUUGAAUUGGAAGAAUGAGCAGACAUCAUAAAGACUGUGAACUGUUUGAUGCCAUAAAAUUUCUCUUCUUUUAUAAUUUCCUUUUACAAUUUCUUGAUAAUGUCUAGUAGAAAUUUUAAUGCUGUAUUUAUAACUAUCUAAACAUGGAAUUGAAACAAAAUAAGGAAUCCCAGAAUGUGCUUAUUAAUAUACAUAGAAAACUUUAAUUCCAAUUAAAAAUACUACUUCCUAACCACAGUGAAGUAUCACCUGACACCUGUGAGAAUGGCCAUUAUCAAAAAGGCAAGAGAUAACAAGUAUUCUUGAGGAUGUGGCGGAAAGGG
rnacentral:lncRNA from 1 species